rnacentral:lncRNA from 1 species
ACUUGGACUUGGACCUCUCUCAUUUGAGCCCACAAAGCCAUGAAAAUCAGGUUAUAAAAGAGGGAGAUCAGACACAAAAAGGAAGGGAAGCAAAAUACUCUGAGGUUUCCUUGAAACAAAACCCUUGACAAAACCUGGAGAGAAACCUAACAGAGAACUCAGAGCAACACCCAGGCAGCUCUGAAAAAUUCAAUCUGAC